UCAUGACACACCAACAGUUAGCCCAUAGCUUCAUCCUGCAUGCAGUCCAUUGUUUCCUCUACUGUAAAUAGCCGACGCCAUGCCGCUUCCUCUCCUCUACAUAUCUACCAAGAAAUUUAUGGAGGCAUCCGGAGAGUCUGCGAAAAAAUCGUGCGGAGGCAGAGAAAGGAGGAAUCAGCAACUACAAUGUUUCUAUGCUCACGAAUCUGUGGAGUUGUGUGUGCUUAAAUUUAAUUUAAAGCUUCGUAGUUGGUUAGCAGAGAAUCAGUUGUUGGUAUGCCCCAGUCAGAUCCUUUUAGCAUGAAUUAUUUUACACAUGCAAAAAUAUGUAAAAUAUGCUUACCAUAAUUCAAUAGAAGAAAUUUUGUUCAGAUCGUGAUGUGCUGAUAGCUAGCUACCUUUUCUAAGCCAUGCAGGUUAGGGAUGAAGAGACUAAUACACGUGCAGUUGAGUGCAGUAUGCCGUAGCAUCAUCUGGUCGGCCGACACCCCUUUUCUGUUUGUACAACAUGACGCCAAUUUGACCUGGGAAAUUCACAGCUUUAUUCUGCUUACCACUUAUCAGGCUUGCCGUCCAAUGGCAGUUACAGUUAGCUGUAUAUUUUUUUUCCUUGACCAAUUAUGCCUUCGUGUAAUAUGAUCUGGAGCUUUUUGCCAAGCUCAAUGUAAUUUUGUUGUAGCUACACAUGGAUCACAAAAUUUGAUAAUAUUUGUAUUCUAAAUUAACUGAGGCUAGCACAAAUAAAACAUCUGGAAUAUGGUAAAUA